GGAUCCCCGAUUCAAAAGUUAUAUAGAUGGAUGUCUCUGUAUUAUCAAGUCGUUUUCGAUGCUCAGAUUUUCAAAUCGAUGAUCAGCUCCGUCAGAUUUGAUCUAAAGUAUUUAAAAUACCUAAGAAAUAAAUGUUAUAAUUUUUUGAUAUAAUUAACCUGGUGAUCGAAAUGACUCAAAAUCAACAGCUGAAAAUAAAAUUUUACAGAAAAAUAAUGAUAUGGCACUAAAAUUUUAGAUCAAAAAUUUUGAUCUUGCUUUAUGUGGUAUAAAAAAUUGUGUACCAAAAUUUUAUAUGAUUUGUAUAAUUUUGCAUCGUUAAACUUGUAAAAGACUCACCACGACCAUUAAAAUAAUUAAUUUUGGGCCCCUUCAAUUACUAGAUAAAUAAUAUCGAAAAAUUACAAAAUUUUUUUGCUAGUUUAAAUACUGCCAAUCAAGUUUUAAUGAGGCAGAUCGUUGAUUCGAAAGCUCUAAUAUUAAAAGCAACUUAAUAGUACGAAAAUCAUCGUGUUUCUAAAAAUAAACAAGCCUAGUUUUGGACUGAAAUGUUAUAUAUAUGAAAAAAGCAUUACACUUUUCAAAGGAAGUGGCUUAAUUAAUUAUUAUUACAAAUUAUUACAAAUAAUAUUUAGGGAAAACUUCAAAAAUCCCCUGUGGUUUCACACUUUAUCAUUUUAGUAUCAUGCGGUUUAAAGUAUAUCAAAUUAGUACCAUAUGGUUUCGCAUUUUCUUACUUUAGUACUUGGCUGUGGUUUAAAGUGUAUCAAGUUAGUACCCUGUGAUUUUAUUUUUGUAUCACGUUAGUAUCCUGUGGUUUUAUUUUUGUAUCAAGUUAGUACCAUUUGAUUUUAUUUUUCUCUUAAUGAAAUAUUAAACUACAGGAUACUAAAGUGAAAAAGUACGAAACCACAGGGUACUAACUUGAUACACUUUAAACACCGGGUACUAACUUGAUACACUUUAAAUCAUAGGGUACUAAAGUAAGAAAGAGUGAAACUAUUAGGAGGUAUUUGAAGUUUUCCCUAAUAUUUAUAAUCAUUUUUAACUUUAUCACCCCCCAACCAAAGUCAACAUUUCCUAUCCCACUGCAACCCUCUUAACUCUGUAUUCACACUUGUCCAAACAAUUCAUCCCCCUUUCCCAC
rnacentral:lncRNA from 1 species